rnacentral:rRNA from 1 species
ACGGAGGGAGCUAGCGUUGUUCGGAAUUACUGGGCGUAAAGCGCGCGUAGGCGGUUACUCAAGUCAGAGGUGAAAGCCCGGGGCUCAACCCCGGAACUGCCUUUGAAACUAGGUGACUAGAAUCUUGGAGAGGUCAGUGGAAUUCCGAGUGUAGAGGUGAAAUUCGUAGAUAUUCGGAAGAACACCAGUGGCGAAGGCGACUGACUGGACAAGUAUUGACGCUGAGGUGCGAAAGCGUGGGGAGCAAACAGGA